ACUUUCUCAAAUCCAUUUAGUGCGUGGUUUUCCUCCUCCUGACCUCCUCUAGCAAUACAUGCAGAACGCCAGAAGUCCAGAACUGGUCUAGUAUGCGAAACAUGUCAUCCAAGCUUAGAAAAUCGAAUGGGUUUUAACAGGUCUGGAAUCAAAUGAGCUUUCAGUUACUGUUUUUUCAUCUUCUUCUCUAGAUCGGUAAUUCCGGUUAACAACCGACGCCAAACCGAUAUUUUCAGCAACCGACUGGUCGGGAUACCGAUUUUUUGGAUCGGUUACGGUUUGGAAAUCUCUAUACCAAAGAAGAUUGGCUCGGUAGCUGGUUUGGAACUAAAGAGUCGGUUACCGUACCGGUUCCAGCCCUACUAAGACCAACUUCAACUUCACUUCGAAGCCAUUGUCUCCAAACUUUAAAGUUCGUAUAUCAUGGACUUCAUCACUCCUUUGACGACUCUCCAGCGAAGCAUAUAGAGUAUAAAUGAGGUUAAGUUAUGUGUCUAACAAAUAUUGAGAUAUAACAAAAUUAGUUUUCCCUUUCUCUUUGUCGUUGUUUUCUUCUUCUAGCUUAAGGGUUUUGCUUAGUCAUUGUUGCUUCAGUUUUGAAGCUUCAACAUAAUGACAAUGAUUUUCAAGUUUGUGAUGAUGCAAGACUUUACUAGGAUUUUGCUACUUUCCUAAUGCAGUUGGGAAUUGGAAUUGGUAAGCAGUGUACAUCCUGUGGUGUCAUUUUCUCUUUUCUAAUCACAUUCAUGUCUAGAA